UACGUAGGGGGCUAGCGUUGUCCGGAAUCAUUGGGCGUAAAGAGCGCGUAGGCGGCUAGAUAAGUCCGGUGUGAAAGUCACAGGCUCAACCUGUGAAUGCCGCUGGAAACUGUCUGGCUAGAGUCCGGAAGGGGCGAGUGGAAUUCCCAGUGUAGCGGUGAAAUGCGCAGAUAUCAGGAGGAACACCGAUGGCGAAGGCAGGUCUCUGGGCAUUAACUGACGCUGAGGAGCGAAAGCAUGGGGAGCGAACAGG
rnacentral:rRNA from 1 species